AGUGAACGCUGGCGGUAGGCCUAACACAUGCAAGUCGAACGGCAGCACAGUAAGAGCUUGCUCUUAUGGGUGGCGAGUGGCGGACGGGUGAGGAAUACAUCGGAAUCUACUUUUUCGUGGGGGAUAACGUAGGGAAACUUACGCUAAUACCGCAUACGACCUACGGGUGAAAGCAGGGGUUCUUCGCACCUUGCGCGAUUGAAUGAGCCGAUAUCGGAUUAGCUAGUUGGCGGGGUAAAGGCCCACCAAGGCAACGAUCCGUAGCUGGUCUGAGAGGAUGAUCGGCCACACUGGAACUGAGACACGGUCCAGACUCCUACGGGAGGCAGCAGUGGGGAAUAUUGGACAAUGGGCGCAAGCCUGAUCCAGCAAUACCGCGUGAGUGAAGAAGGCCUUCGGGUUGUAAAGCCCUUUUGUUGGGAAAGAAAAGCAGCAGGUUAAUACCCCGCUGUUCUGACGGUACCCAAAGAAAAAGCACCGGCUAACUUCGUG
rnacentral:rRNA from 1 species